GUGCUCGCUUUGGCAGCACAUAUCCUAAAACUGGAAUGAUACAGAGAAAAUUAGCUUGGCCCCUGUGCAAGGAUGACACGCAAAUUCAUGAAGCGUUCCAUGAUUUU
rnacentral:snRNA from 1 species